UCCUUGAGUUUAAAUGGAAUCUGCUGUAAAUCGAGCUAAGCUGCUGACUUGGAUCUAAUGGACACCUGAACACUGCACAAAACAAAGUCGCUACUGAAAAAAAGAUAACAAGAAGUGGCUCGCCGCGCUCUUGCUGACGUGGUCAGGUUUGCACGCUUGGAUCUCGCGGGCCUGACAUUCCUGCUCGGAAGCUAAAGACGAUCAAACACUUCUGCUGGCUUCAGCAGCCAUAAAACUUUACACGUUUGCC